ensembl:lncRNA novel transcript
GGUUCUAUUUUUGGAUGUGGGCUCAGACAUUAGGAGCAGGCAGUAUCUUUUCUUUUUCUUUUUCUUUCUUUCUUUUUUUUUUUUUUUGACAGGAUGGGCUGGGGUUGGGGGAGGAGGAAGCAAGAAUUAAGCAGAGAAGGCAAGCUCCUUUCUGUUCAUCUAACUCAAAACCCAAGUGACCACCUGGUAAUUACUUCAACAGCAGAGCGACUCAUACAGCCGGCAGUCCACUUUGUUCUUCUAUAGAUCCUGCCUGUGGUGUUGGAUCUAACAGCUUCUUCCCUGACCCAAGAUUAUGAAGGAUUUCUCCUGUGUUCUCUUCUAAAAAUUUUACAUUUAGGUCCUGGGCUUUCUCUGCUAGAAGAGGCUGAAUUCCUGGAGUACCUAGAGUACAGAGCUGGUGAAUGACCUCUUAUCUCCCUGCUCUAGCCUGUCCUAUGUAACUUGGUCCCAGCCACCUCUCCUGUGGACUUUUCCUUCUUCUGAGCUUUUCCAGAUGCUGGGCUGAGCACAGAUUCUGGUUUGAUGGCAUCUAGUCUGCAGGAAAACAUAGUUUGGCUUUGACCAGCACCUGAUAGACUCUUCUGCUCUUUUGGACUAGUCUUCUAGACACUAAUGGCAGUGGAAUUUGACCUUCUGGUCUUCCUUUUAUGUUUGCUAAAAUAAAUGAAGCCAGUAAUCCCAACAGAUAACCCAGUAUUCCCACCACAUGGCUCAGGACUGCCCCCAUUCGAGGUCUGUGAUCCUGAGCAUCUUUCACCAACAAAUAUACCACUACUAAUCA